rnacentral:rRNA from 1 species
AUAGAUACCCCGGUAGUCCAUGCCGUAAACGUUGGGCGCUAGGUGUGGGGCUCAUUCCACGAGUUCCGUGCCGCAGCUAACGCAUUAAGCGCCCCGCCUGGGGAGUACGGCCGCAAGGCUAGAACUCAAAGGAAUUGACGGGGGCCCGCACAAGCGGCGGAGCAUGCGGAUUAAUUCGAUGCAACGCGAAGAACCUUACCAAGGCUUGACAUACAGGGUAAUCCGGCAGAAAUGUCGGGUCCGCAAGGGAUCCUGUACAGGUGGUGCAUGGUUGUCGUCAGCUCGUGUCGUGAGAUGUUGGGUUAAGUCCCGCAACGAGCGCAACCCUCGUUCUAUGUUGCCAGCGCGUUAUGGCGGGGACUCAUAGGAGACUGCCGGGGUCAACUCGGAGGAAGGUGGGGAUGACGUCAAAUCAUCAUGCCCCUUAUGUCUUGGGCUUCACGCAUGCUACAAUGGCCAGUACAAAGGGCUGCGAGACCGCAAGGUGGAGCGAAUCCCAAAAAACUGGUCUCAGUUCGGAUUGGGGU